UACGUAGGGGGCGAGCGUUGUCCGGAUUUAUUGGGCCUAAAGCAUCCGUAGCCGGUUUUACAAGUCUUCCGUUAAAUCCAGCCGCUCAACAGAUGGGCCGCGGAGGAUACUAUAAGACUAGGAGGCAGGAGAGGCAAGCGGUACUCAGUGGGUAGGGGUAAAAUCCGUUGAUCCAUUGAAGACCACCAGUGGCGAAGGCGGCUUGCCAGAAUGCGCUCGACGGUGAGGGAUGAAAGCUGGGGGAGCAAACCGG
rnacentral:rRNA from 1 species